rnacentral:misc_RNA from 1 species
ACCAGAAUCGUAUGCGAACCGCGUCUCUGCGAUCUCACAAGUCCCAACUUCCAAGUCGAGAUUUCCAGCUCGCCAUGGCCGACACCUCCAAAAAAUUUCCAGCCUCGCCGUCGCCACCAAGCCACGCACUCUCUGCUCAUGGUUAAUUUCUCCCUUUUUCUUUCUUGCUUCCCACCCUCUCUGCUCUAACAAAAAGACACCAGAUCUUACUUGUUUCUCUCCUUGUAUCCAAAAGCCACCAAAUCUUUCACUGGUCAGUUCCUCUCCUGGCAAGUUC